rnacentral:rRNA from 1 species
UACGUAGGGUGCAAGCGUUGUCCGGAAUUAUUGGGCGUAAAGAGCUCGUAGGCGGUCUGUCGCGUCUGCUGUGAAAACUCGGGGCUUAACCCCGGGCCUGCAGUGGGUACGGGCAGACUAGAGUGCGGUAGGGGAGACUGGAAUUCCUGGUGUAGCGGUGAAAUGCGCAGAUAUCAGGAGGAACACCAAUAGCGAAGGCAGCUCGCUGGGACGUUACUGACACUGAGGCGCGAAAGCGUGGGGAGCGAACAGG